GCAGCGUUAUCCGGAAUUAUUGGGCGUAAAGAGCUCGUAGGCGGUUUGUCGCGUCUGCUGUGAAAUCCGGAGGCUCAACCUCCGGCCUGCAGUGGGUACGGGCAGACUAGAGUGCGGUAGGGGAGAUUGGAAUUCCUGGUGUAGCGGUGGAAUGCGCAAAUAUCAGGAGGAACACCGAUGGCGAAGGCAGAUCUCUGGGCCGUAACUGACGCUGAGGAGCGAAAGGGUGGGGAGCAAACAGGCUUAGAUACCCUGGUAGUCCACCCCGUAAACGUUGGGAACUAGUUGUGGGGUCCAUUCCACGGAUUCCGUGACGCAGCUAACGCAUUAAGUUCCCCGCCUGGGGAGUACGGCCGCAAGGCUAAAACUCAAAGGAAUUGACGGGGACCCGCACAAGCGGCGGAGCAUGCGGAUUAAUUCGAUGCAACGCGAAAAACCUUACCAAGGCUUGACAUAUACAAAAACGGGCCAAAAAUGGUCAACUCUUUGGACACUCGUAAACAGGUGGUGCAUGGUUGUCGUCAGCUCGUGUCGUGAGAUGUUGGGUUAAGUCCCGCAACGAGCGCAACCCUCGUUCUAUGUUGCCAGCACGUAAUGGUGGGAACUCAUGGGAUACUGCCGGGGUCAACUCGGAGGAAGGUGGGGAUGACGUCAAAUCAUCAUGCCCCUUAUGUCUUGGGCUUCACGCAUGCUACAAUGGCCGGUACAAAGGGCUGCAAUACCGCGAGGUGGAGCGAAUCCCAAAAAGCCGGUCCCAGUUCGGAUUGAGGUCUGCAACUCGACCUCAUGAAGUCGGAGUCGCUAGUAAUCGCAGAUCAGCAACGCUGCGGUGAAUAC
rnacentral:rRNA from 1 species